rnacentral:rRNA from 1 species
CCUACGGGAGACUGCAGUGGGGGAUAUUGCACAAUGGGGGAAACCCUGAUGCAGCGACGCCGCGUGUGGGAAGACGGUCCUAUGGAUUGUAAACCACUGUCCCCAGGGACGAAGAUGACGUUACCUUGGGAGGAAGCUCCGUCUAACUACGUGCCAGCACCCCCGGUAAUACGUAGGGAGCGAGCGUUGUACGGAAUUACUGGGUGUAAAGGGAGCGUAGGCGGGGAUGCAAGUUGGGGGUAAAAACUCCCGGCUCAACUGGUAGUCGCACUCAAAACUGCAGCUCUUGAGUGAAGUAGAGGAAGGCGGAAUGCCUGGUGUAGCGGUGAAAUGCGUAGAUAUUAGGAGGAACACCAGUGGCGAAGGCGGCCUGCUGGGAUUUUACUGACGCUGAGGCUCGAAAGUGUGGGGAGCGAACAGGAUUAGAUACCCUUGUAGUC